AAUUGCAUCGAGUGCAAUUGAUCCGAUCGAAUUGGAACAUCGACGUUCAAUUUCACGGAUAUAAAAUCGUGAAUCUAGGAAAAUACCUGUGGUAUCAGGGUCAGGCCUACUGUCAAUCCCGCAACCAGGUCACCCAAUGCGUCCUUCGUUUUGUACAGCGUUUCAGCACAUCGUGUCGACUCGAAAUUCUGAAAAUAUAACACGAUUCAAUGAUGAAGAUCCGAACGAAGGAAGAACCUCGAUUUCAAGUUUCAAUCGGCAGAUCGUCAUAAUUCAUCGGCCUGUCUUCUUAAUAUGCGAGCUGCAUCGCCUCAUUAACUGGCAUCGCAAUCGUCGUUUCAAUGUCUCGCCGAUGAAACAACAAGCGGGCAAUUAACGAAUUUUCGAGCGAACAAUUAGUAAAUGAUUUUACGCGCGAGAACACGAUUUAACGUCACUAACUGAGCGGUGGUCACGUGUGACCGUUUAAGCACGUGAUUUUCCAGUUUUCCUCGUCGACAGUUACCGCGGAAAUCCUAUGUUAAUAUCUCACUGUACCGUUCAUUAUAACAGUUUUCAAAUUCCAGUUUCACUUUCAUCUGUCACGAAGAAAGUUAUCGCAAGGAAUAACCGCGAUGAACCAGUUUGUGUACCAUCGCAACGAGGAUCCGAUGAUCUUCAAGGAAUCGCGAUCAAGAAAA